rnacentral:rRNA from 1 species
AUUGAACGCUGGCGGCAGGCCUAACACAUGCAAGUCGAGCGGCAGCGGGAAAGUAGCUUGCUACUUUUGCCGGCGAGCGGCGGACGGGUGAGUAAUGCCUGGGGAUCUGCCCAGUCGAGGGGGAUAACAGUUGGAAACGACUGCUAAUACCGCAUACGCCCUACGGGGGAAAGGAGGGGACCUUCGGGCCUUUCGCGAUUGGAUGAACCCAGGUGGGAUUAGCUAGUUGGUGGGGUAAUGGCUCACCAAGGCGACGAUCCCUAGCUGGUCUGGGAGGAUGAUCAGCCACACUGGAACUGGGACACGGUCCAGACUCCGACGGGAGGCAGCAGUGGGGAAUAUUGCACAAUGGGGGAAACCCUGAUGCAGCCAUGCCGCGUGUGUGAAGAAGGCCUUCGGGUUGUAAAGCACUUUCAGCGAGGAGGAAAGGUUGUUGGCUAAUACCCAGCAACUGUGACGUUACUCGCAGAAGAAACACCGGCUAACUCCGUGCCAGCCGCCGCAGUAA